UUUAUUUUAUUUUGGACAGAGUCUCCCCACGUUGUUGAGCAUCUCACUGAAUUGCUGAAGCUGGCCUCUAACUUGAGAUCCUCCUGCUGCAGACUCCCAAGUCAUUGGGAUUACAAGCAUGUGCCACUGCAUCCAGCUACUUAGAUUUUUUCAACUUGAAAAUUUAUUUUGGGGGAGGGGGGUAAUAUGUAUUGAACCCAGAGGCAUUUUAUCACUGAGAUAUAUCUCCAGGUCUUUUUAUUUUAAUAUGGGAUCUAACCAAGUAGCUUAAGUCCUUGCUAAAUUACUAAGGUUCACCUGGAACUUGCAAUCCUCCUACCUCAGCCUCCUGAGUCACUGGUAUUAUAGGCAUGUACCACUGUGCCUGGCUUAAUGUUUCAAGCCACAGUGAAGUGAAAGAAUAUUUCAAAGAACACCUGCAUACACCUCAACUAAUUAUCAAUUAUUAAUAUUCUCACUCUUUUUCUCUACCUCCUUCUCUGCCCCCACACCACCUUGGAUAAAUCUAUGAAGGAAACACAACAUCCAACAUUCUUUCCCUCAGAGAUCUUUCUUUUAUGAAAGUUUAGCUAUCCAUUUAAAAGAACAUUUAUUAUAUUUUCCAUAAAAUUUCUAGAUAUCAUAUGAGUUUGGGGGGGGAUAUUCAGCUAGCAAUACUGCCAGAAAUGAAAACCCCAUUUUAUUGAUUUAUAUCCUGAUUUUUUUUCACAGAAUAUUGUGUAAUUUUUUUUUCAAAGCUCCUUGCUAUGGAUUGGAUUAUGGACUCCCAAAAGUUGUAUGCCAAGUCCCUAACUCUAGGGUGACUGUAUCUGGAGCUAGGAUCUUUAGGAGAAAACCAUGAAUCAAAUAAAC
rnacentral:lncRNA from 1 species